AGGUGUGAACAUGAAAGGUGUUAAUCUUGAAAAUAGUCAAAUGGCAGGAGUUAAUCUAAGGGUUGCUACGCUGAAGAAUGCUAAUCUACAAAACUCAAACCUGAGAUGGGCAAUAUUGGCUGGAACAGAUCUAGAGAACUGUAACCUUACUGGAUGUGACCUCCAGGAUGCCAAUCUACGCGGUGCUAACGUCAAGAAUGCUACCUUUGAGGAGAUGUUGACACCGCUUCACAUGUCACAGAGCGUAGCAGGUAACUAUCCUUCCAGAUAGGAAUGGCUGGGGAACACAUGCACUACAGGACAUCACAGUUAGCCAGUAGUUCCAGAGACCAAUUAGCAGGCCAAGAAUGAUAACCUUCGAGACUUUGUUGGUCUUAUGAAUCCUUGAGAAAGUUGUAGAAAGGCUUAAAAUUAGGGGACCAACAGCUAAAAUGCCCAUGAGACUGACAACUCAUGCAACCAAUGAUGUUGAUCUUAAGAAUUGUUUUAAAUGUGUGAAGGCAGCAGGGCCACUACUUCUUACAAUGCAUAUGCAGAAGUAAGUUUGAUGGUUGCUUCAGGAGCUUUGUCUUGUUGGCUUCUUGGCUCUUGUGUUGGUUCAUGGUCAUGAAGGCAGAAGGUCUUGGGGCCAUAUUGCUUGAAAGUCUUUCGGCUGCAUGAACUUCCCAACUUUGCAGUCUUUGUUCUUAUGGGCACAUGAUCUGCUAGGCUAUUAGAAAUCCUAGGCUGGUGAUCUUGUGGAUUGUCAGUUUCCUGGGCUUUCAGACUCGGGCUCAUUGGUCUCAAAGACCCAUGGUCUGCUGGGCUACGGCUACUAGUUAUCAUAGAGAACACCAGUCUUCUGGGAUGUUGGUCUCAUGGAUGGCGGUGUCAUAGCAUGUUCACCUGCACAGAUGUAUUCGACUGUUGAUGGUAUGGUAGCACUAUGGAGCAUGUUGGCAUGACAAUGGAGAUAGCUAACCUAAUUCACCUUUGACCUAGGACCUAUGACCUUUGGCCUCUAGACAACCUUAUUGCAAUAUUUUCAAUGUAUCUUAUCAAUUUCUUAGUGGGUAAGGUCAUAUAUAUAAUGUAACCAUCUUGGUGAAAACAUUUUCAGAUAAGAGAUGUAUGGCUUUUUUUAUUGUAGAAAGGAAUUAUCCUGCAUGUAAAACUAUUGUCAUUGCAAAAAUACCCUGAAUAGCUAAUGAGAGGUGAUAUCCAAAAGAUCGUUUAAGCUAUAUGUGAAAUCCUUACAUCUACUGUUUUUUUUGUCUUUUUGUCACUUAAUCAUUAAACCAAAAAUUUAUAGCUUCCCUGUUGGCUUGUCAAUCUUUUUUGGUGUAUGACAGCUUGUACAGCACAUCCCCCAAAAAAUGUCCCUCUGGCAUAGGGCCGAAUCAAUUCCAAAGUGUUGUGGUAGUAUUCUCAAUUAAAUGUUCAGGAGUAGAAAGCUCAUUUUAUGUUCCAACUCCUAUGAAAAUUUAAUUGAUCGUUUCAGCGGUUUUGAAUAUACACUCUGUUACAUAACAGCUGUGCAUUUUAGCCCAUUCCAAGUUUGCAGCAUUGAUGUAUUUCUGCAUUGUCUAUGGCAUGUUAACCCUCAUUUUUACAUCCAGGAUCUGAGCAGGGACAUUUCCCUAAUCCUAUCCAGGCUCAUCAAUUCAUAAAAUUGGGCAUGUUCAGAAGGAAAAGAAACAUAAAGAAAAAAUGUUUGAUUGUUGAUUGAUAAGGGGAAUCACUGCACCAUCUUGAGAGAAAUUGUGAAUGACAGAUGAGUAAAAUAAGCUGAACAAUGAAGGGGAAUCCACUAGUUAAUCACAUUUUGCAAAAGGGAACUUUACCAGUGAAAUUUUUAACUAUUUUCAUUUAAAAAAGGUACAUUUAAUUAACUUGACCUUUUGGAAUGAGACAUGAAACAGACAUGACCUGUAGUCACCAUCAUAGUGCAUCUCCUAUUAUCAAAUAUGAAAUGGACAAAUACUGUUGUUGCGCUUCUUAACAUACUCAAGGUUGUGAUUUGAUGAGCCUGGUUAGAUUAUGGACGUUUCCCUGGUCAGAAUGAUCAAAGAGGGUUGAUAUGCUAGAAAGUGCAGAACAUACAGCAGUGCUGCAUGUGUGCAAACUUGGAAUGGGCUGAAAAAGCACCAUUGUUACAUAAUAGACUGCGUAUUCAAAUCCACUGAAGCAUGACCAAUGAAAUUUUAAUAGGAGUUAGAAUGUCAGAUGAGCUUUCUAGUUCCACACAUUCAAUUGAGAAUAAUUUUGGAAGUAUUUUAGCCGCAUAUCAGAGGGGCAUUUUUUUUUGGGGGGUGUAUGACAGAUUUAAAAUAGGGCAGAUUGUGCUCUUUGAUAGGAAUUCAUGGAAAUUAAACUUAUUUUGAAAUGCUGUCAACAAGCUUUGUAAUUUUACAUGUCAAAUCAAUCUUGUUGAUAUUUUGUUCUUAUAGUAAAUUCUCUUUAGUUCCUUUAUCCCUAUGUAAUCUAAUAUUGUACAAUACCAGUAAGUUUAGAUAUUUUCUUUGAAAUAUAAUAUUGUAUCUACAUUUCAUUUUUUCCCAUUUGAUAGUGUUUCACAGAUUAACCAUCUAUCUCAGUUAAAUUAGAGCAAUGAAUUGAUCUUGGAAAUAUAUCUUCAUUGAUAUUAGUGUAAAACGCAUCCAUCAAUUGUUCAUUCCCAAUGAGAAGUUGAUUUGAAAGAAAGAGGAAAAUCAAACAAGGAUAACACUGAAAGUUUCAAUAAUAAAUGUUAAAUACAAACGUUGCAACAUUUGUGUUAAUUUCCCAAAAAUAGUUUUGUUAGCAUAAGGAAGAGCCAUUAACUUUACACAUUAACUGUACCUUUUGUAUUUUGUGAUAUGAUGUAUAAAAAGGUUUAUUUUUCCCCCUAUAGUAGUAUUUUAACACAUGGUUUGACUUUUCCAUGAAUAUUUGGAUUGUCAUUUUUGAAAAUUCUAUUAUGAUUCAAUAAAGUCUAUGAAAAUUGUACUUCACGAUAUAAAGUAUAAAAUGAAUAGUGAGUGUGAGAUAUCAUAAUUUUUCUCAUUUGCAUAUCACGCAAAUUCCACAUAUUCUUUUUACUAUGCAAAACUUUAAAAUGUGACAAAAUUUAUUGUCUGUAUGAAGCGUGUGAAAAUUAUAAAUAUGAUAUUUUAUUUCUUAACCCUUUUAAUUUCAAUCUUAUAUCUUACAAACGCUUAGUAUUCAUUUGUUGACUAAACACAGUGUGAGUUGAUAGGUAUGCUUCAAAUUUUUAUUUAGUAAGUGAAAACUAUAGCCUCUGAAAGCUUAGGAAUCUAAAAGACAUUAGUUUCAAAUCUAUAAUCUUAAUAUACAUGAUUUAUUGUUUCGGAAGGUUUAUAGAAUAUUUAUGGGGUGAUUUUAUUAGACACUGGUUUACAGUGGAAAGCCAUUGACCUUGAUAUUAUAUUGUAAAAUAUUUUUUUUUGCUUAUUUGGUGAUUUCACUAAAGUGAUCUUUAGAAUACAUGAUUUUGGUAUCAAUAGAUUAAACUGAAUAAUUUGGUUCCAUUCAUAUUUGCCCUGGCCGUAGAAAAGCAGCACAUUAAAUAAAACAUCCUCGCACAAACCUAACACUGGCCAUAUUCCAUGUCCUCACAACUUUUUAAUACAAGCCCUUUUCACAUAAUUCUGCGUCUUAUGGAGGUAUUAAAACAAGGGCAGUAGUCAGUAUACAGAUAUAUUUCAGAUGCAAAUAGAGUUCUAGUAAAUGUUCCCCUUAAGUAGAAGAGAAUUACAUCAAUUAUAACAUCUUAAAAAGUGAGACCUAACUCUUGCUCCUUCAUGACUGCUACUUAAAUGUUUUUCUUGACUAAUUUUAAGAAACCAUUUGUUUAUUUCAUCCACUGCCAUACUUGAAAAUAGGGCAAAUAACUAUUUUUUAUUUAUAUACAAUACAUUCUAAAAGAUGUGAUCUUGAUUCUGAUUGAUUUUAAGGAUGCACACUUCUCUUUUUAUUGUUAUUUUUUGUUAUUAUGUUUUUUGUUUAUCCUCACGAUCCAUAUCCACAUGAAAGAUUGAAAUCAGUGACUAAAAUUAGCCAAUAACUUCAGAAAGAAUGCAGAGAUAAUAAAACUCUUUAAAGACUUCUUGCACUUUUUGUUAUGACUGAAAAAUAUUAACAGUAAAAUGAUGGUGAGGAGACCCGGGCAUUUGUUAUUGAUAUCAUUAGGAGUUGUGCAAUAUUUUCCUAUGUAUUUUUUCCUUUUGCACAUUUUCUAUAUUGUACUCUCCCUUGUUAUGGAAGAAGGAUGGAGUCUACUGCAUAAACUAUUAAACAUGUAUUCACAGUUUUUUUUUGUCAAUCUUAUCAUUUGAUAACCAAGAUGAAUUUGAGUUCCAGGAAGUUUAGAAAACUUUGAUAAUUUUUUUCAAGAAAGCCUUCUUCGUCUCCUUUUUUUAAAUACAUAAUUCAAAAUUAUAUACAUACAGUUUAUAUCCUUCUAUUGAUUAAUUUGAAGCAAUAAAUUCUGACCAUUUAUCUGUAAAAUAUUUUUCUUAUAGUAUCUGGUAUGAAUGGUAUAUUUGAAAAUGACAUAAUUUGUAAUUUGAUGAAAUUUUAAUUUUAUACUUAUGUUUUUAUAGAAAUCCAUUAGUUCAUAUAUCUUUGUUUCUGUAGAUGCUUUAUUUUGAUUUGAUUUUGACAGAUAUACUUUAUAUAUGGAGCAAAAACUGACAAUGAUGAAGGGAUAUAUAUAUUUUGUUUUAUUGCACAGUAAUAAAAAGUAAUGCCUUCUAUUGUCAUUGUUUACAUAAAUGCAUAUGAAAGCAUUUUCCUCAUCCUAAAUGGGGCAAGUUUUAACUUGGUAAUAUCAUGAAACCAGAGUAUAACUGAAAGGUGUUUAAUGAAAGCUGUUUACUAAUUUGUAAAGUUACAAAUGACUAAAAAAUUAGUUGGCAGCUGAUUAAAAUAUUGAAUUCUAAAAUCUGUCUUAAAUAUGUUGACACACCCACACAUGUAAAUAUAUUUACCAGUAAUAUAUUGUGUAUAUGCAAAUAAAAAAUAUUUUAUUUUCUAUUUAUCAUUUAAAAUGAUAAUUGAAUUGAAUUUGUGCUGGUUUAUAGAAAUCCGACCAUGCAGUGAAUGUUUUAUUGCAAUAGGAGAUGAGAUGUGACAGUUUUUGUUGUCAAUGAAUAAAUGAAGAUAUUUAGGUAUAAUAACAUAGAUGGGGUAUUUUCUGUGUUUUGCCUUCAUUUGACAAAGCUAAAUGAAUAUUGGUAAUAGUGAUAAGACAUGCAUAAUUCCAUGCAACAGUGAUCAUUUGCUCUUGAGGAAGGUUAUGUAUUCUCUGUGCAUAGUAAAUCACAAUUAUGUAUUAAAGAUAUUUUAGAAAGAAGUUAUAAUUUUGCAAUAGAAUGUGAGCUGGACAGGUGAUCUUCUACAAAAGUACAGUUUAUAACCCCCAGAUUGACUCCAUGAUUUGAAAACUGGGUGUGUAAAAGAGAGUAUUCAGUGAAUAUGAGUGCAUCUUUAUAAAUAAUUAAAUUCUUUGAAAAAAUAUAUUCUAGUAAUAUAAUGUGAUUACAUCACUUCAUAUUUAUCUCAUUCAUGAAUUGAUCCACUCAUUUAAUAUUGAAUGAAAGAUAUGAUACAAUACAAGAGAUAAAGUAACAUAAACUUAAAUAGACAGACAUUAAUAGAAUAGUAUAUUAUUAAUAAAAGAUCAAUAU